rnacentral:tRNA from 2 species
UCCGGGAUAGCUCAGCGGUAGAGCAAGAAGCUGUUAACUUCGAGGUCGCUGGUUCGAAUCCAGUUCCCGGAGCCA